rnacentral:rRNA from 1 species
AGUGAACGCUGGCGGUAGGUCUAACACAUGCAAGUCGAACGGCAGCACAGUAAGAGCUUGCUCUUACGGGUGGCGAGUGGCGGACGGGUGAGGAAUACAUCGGAAUCUACUUUUUCGUGGGGGAUAACGUAGGGAAACUUACGCUAAUACCGCAUACGACCUACGGGUGAAAGCAGGGGAUCUUCGGACCUUGCGCGAUUGAAUGAGCCGAUGUCGGAUUAGCUAGUUGGCGGGGUAAAGGCCCACCAAGGCGACGAUCCGUAGCUGGUCUGAGAGGAUGAUCAGCCACACUGGAACUGAGAAACGGUCCAGACUCCUACGGGAGGCAGCAGUGGGGAAUAUUGGACAAUGGGCGCAAGCCUGAUCCAGCCAUACCGCGUGGGUGAAGAAGGCCUUCGGGUUGUAAAGCCCUUUUGUUGGGAAAGAAAAGCAGCAGGUUAAGACCCCGCUGUUCUGACGGUACCCAAAGAAUAAGCACCGGCUAACUGCGU